rnacentral:rRNA from 1 species
CCCUUAGAUGUCCAGGGCCGCACGCGCGCUACACUGAUGCAUUCAACGAGUUUCACCUUGGCCGAGAGGCCUGGGCAAUCUUUUAAACCUGCAUCGUGAUAGGGAUAGAUUAUUGCAAUUGUUAAUCUUGAACGAGGAAUUCCUAGUAAACGCAAAUCAUCAAUUUGCAUUGAUUACGUCCCUGCCCUUUGUACACACCGCCCGUCGCACCUACCGAUUGAAUGGUCCGGUGAAGCCUCGGGAUUGUGGCCAGUUCACUUUAUUGGGAGUUGGCUGUGAGAACUUGUCUAAACCUUAUCAUUUAGAGGAAGGUGAAGUCGUAACA